UACGGGGGGAGCAAGCGUUGUUCGGAUUUACUGGGCGUAAAGGGCGCGUAGGCGGCCACCGCAAGUCGAUUGUGAAAUCUCCGGGCUUAACCCGGAAAGGUCAACCGAUACUGCGGGGCUAGAGUGCAGAAGGGGCAACUGGAAUUCUCGGUGUAGCGGUGAAAUGCGCAGAUAUCAGGAGGAACACCGGUGGCGAAGGCGGUUCUCUGGGAAUAUCCUGACGCUGAGGAGCGAAAGCGUGGGGAGCGAACAGG
rnacentral:rRNA from 1 species